rnacentral:rRNA from 1 species
UGGGGAAUUUUGGACAAUGGGCGCAAGCCUGAUCCAGCAAUGCCGCGUGAGUGAAGAAGGCCUUCGGGUUGUAAAGCUCUUUUGUCAGGGAAGAAACGGCUGUGGCUAAUAUCCACGGCUACUGACGGUACCUGAAGAAUAAGCACCGGCUAACUACGUGCCAGCAGCCGCGGUAAUACGUAGGGUGCAAGCGUUAAUCGGAAUUACUGGGCGUAAAGCGUGCGCAGGCGGUUUUGUAAGUCUGUCGUGAAAUCCCCGGGCUCAACCUGGGAAUUGCGAUGGAGACUGCAAGGCUAGAAUCUGGCAGAGGGGGGUAGAAUUCCACGUGUAGCAGUGAAAUGCGUAGAGAUGUGGAGGAACACCGAUGGCGAAGGCAGCCCCCUGGGUCAAGAUUGACGCUCAUGCACGAAAGCGUGGGGAGCAAACA